UUUACGGCACGAUGGUCGCACAAGAAUGUGAUAGAGCGUCUACGGCCGCCAUUUUCUUCCUUUCUUAGCGGUUAGCCGAGCGGGGAGCCUCCGCGAGGAAGCGGCAGCGGCGGCUGUAUAGUGGGCAUGGCCGACUACUCAACGGUGCCUCCGCCCUCGUCUGGCUCAGCCGGCGGCGGCGGCGGAGGAGGCGUUAACGAUGCUUUCAAAGAUGCCCUGCAGAGAGCCCGGCAGAUUGCAGCAAAAAUUGGGGGUGAUGCUGGUACAUCAUUGAAUUCAAAUGACUAUGGUUAUGGGGGACAAAAGAGACCCCUAGAAGAUGGAGAUGGCUCUUGGACAAAUCCGAGCAGUACAACACACUGGGAGGGAAUGCCCUCUCCUUUUAAAGAUCAACCAGAUGCAAAGAAAGUUGCUCCCCAAAAUGACUCUUUUGGAGCACAGUUACCUCCGAUGCAUCAGCAGCAAAGCAGAUCUGUAAUGACAGAAGAAUACAAAGUUCCAGAUGGAAUGGUUGGAUUUAUAAUUGGCAGAGGAGGAGAACAGAUUUCACGUAUACAGCAGGAAUCUGGAUGCAAAAUACAGAUAGCUCCUGAUAGUGGUGGCCUUCCAGAAAGGUCGUGUAUGCUAACCGGAACACCUGAAUCUGUCCAAUCAGCAAAAAGAUUACUGGACCAGAUUGUUGAAAAGGGAAGACCUGCACCUGGCUUUCAUCAUGGUGAUGGACCUGGAAAUGCAGUUCAGGAAAUCAUGAUUCCAGCCAGCAAGGCAGGACUCGUUAUUGGAAAGGGGGGAGAGACUAUUAAACAGCUUCAGGAACGGGCUGGUGUUAAAAUGGUUAUGAUUCAAGAUGGGCCUCAAAAUACUGGUGCUGAUAAACCUCUUAGGAUUACGGGUGACCCAUACAAAGUUCAGCAAGCCAAGGAGAUGGUCUUAGAAUUAAUUCGUGAUCAAGGUGGUUUCAGAGAAGUGCGGAAUGAGUAUGGCUCAAGAAUAGGAGGAAAUGAAGGGAUAGAUGUCCCAAUUCCAAGAUUUGCUGUUGGCAUCGUAAUAGGAAGAAAUGGAGAAAUGAUCAAAAAAAUACAAAAUGAUGCUGGUGUUCGAAUUCAGUUUAAGCCAGAUGAUGGAACAACACCUGAUAGGAUAGCACAGAUAACAGGACCUCCAGACAGAUGUCAGCAUGCUGCAGAGAUUAUCACAGACCUUCUACGAAGUGUUCAGGCUGGUAAUCCUGGUGGACCUGGACCUGGUGGGCGAGGACGAGGUAGAGGUCAAGGCAACUGGAAUAUGGGACCACCUGGUGGACUACAGGAAUUUAAUUUCAUUGUGCCAACUGGGAAAACUGGAUUGAUAAUUGGAAAAGGAGGCGAAACCAUAAAAAGCAUAAGCCAGCAGUCUGGUGCGAGAAUAGAGCUUCAGAGAAAUCCUCCUCCUAACGCAGAUCCUAAUAUGAAGUUAUUUACAAUUCGUGGCACUCCACAGCAAAUAGACUACGCUCGGCAACUCAUAGAAGAGAAGAUUGGAGGCCCAGUAAAUCCUUUAGGGCCACCUGUACCCCAUGGGCCCCAUGGGGUUCCAGGUCCUCAUGGGCCUCCUGGGCCUCCAGGGCCUGGAACUCCAAUGGGACCAUACAACCCUGCACCUUACAAUCCAGGACCACCUGGUCCAGCUCCUCAUGGUCCUCCAGCCCCAUAUGCUCCCCAGGGAUGGGGAAAUGCAUAUCCACAUUGGCAGCAACAGGCUCCUCCUGACCCAGCUAAGGCAGGAACAGAUCCAAAUUCAGCAGCUUGGGCUGCUUAUUAUGCCCACUAUUACCAACAGCAGGCACAGCCCCCGCCUGCAGCUCCUGCAGGUGCACCAACUACAACCCAAACGAACGGUCAAGGUAACUACGGAGAUCAGCAGAAUCCAGCUCCAGCUGGACAGGUUGAUUAUACAAAGGCUUGGGAAGAGUACUACAAGAAAAUGGGUCAAGCAGUUCCUGCUCCUACUGGGGCCCCACCAGGUGGGCAGCCAGAUUAUAGUGCAGCCUGGGCUGAAUACUAUAGACAACAAGCAGCAUACUAUGCCCAGACAAGUCCCCAAGGAAUGCCGCAGCAUCCUCCAGCACCUCAGGGAUUUGCAAAUCAUGCAAGAAGCCACCAUCAUUUAUAUUAACCAGUUUUUCUUUCUUAAAGGAUUCACUCCUGAAUUAGCUCCAUUUAAAGGAUUUUCUUUAACUUUUUGUGUAUCUCUUAUGUAUCUCUUCUGCACAGGGCCAAUAAUAAGAAGUGGACAAUACAGUAUUUGCUUCAUUGUGUGGGGGAAAAAAACCUUUGUUAAAUAUAUGGAUGCAGACGACUUGAUGAAGAUCUUAAUUUUGUUUUUGGUUUAAAGUAGUGUUUUCCCCCCCUUUUUUUAUUUUGAAAAUGUACAAAAUAUCUAUCACUACUGAUAGGAGGUUAAUAUUUCUGUGUAGAAAUGAAAACUGGUUUGUUUUUAGUCUUUAGUGUAGAUGUACACAUUCCAGCAAAUGUAUUUGCAACUAUUAUGUGGUCAAUGCUUUGUGAUAUAAAUGUACUUUUUCAAUGUAUACUUUCACUUUUAAAAUGCCUGUUUUGUGCUUUACAAUAAAUGAUAUGAAACCUCCUGUGUCGGUAAGUUGGAUAUGUGGGUAAAGGAUUCAUAAUUUCUUAGCAGUGAUAAAUUAAGAUACAUAUACACAACUAUAUAUAAGCUUUCCCCAUGAAUUACUGAGUUUUUAAACACUGGCAUGAUGUUUUUCCCCUUGCAGUAUAGUGGUAGAUUGGAGGAUCUUUUCUGUUGUAUUUGGCUAUUUCAGCACAAGUAAUCCUGAUAUCUUCAUUUUUUUCCUUCUAUUUGAUUUUAAAACUGCAUGUAUAUACAAUGAUCUUUAGUAUACUUCCAUUGCAUUAACAGUGAAAUUUCCUUUUAUAUGUGAGCACUGUUUAUAUAUGAGACCUGUACUGCUGCUACAACAGUUAACCUUUCUGUUUUUCACUUAUUUCCAAGACUGUUUCAGCAUAACUAAUUUUGAACAGUUUUCAGACAGUGAUUUGAGUAGUUUAUAAGAAGCUUUUUGUUUUCCAUGUAAAGCAACUAUUUCAAUGUAUAUAAUAGUGUGUUUCUUUCUAAAUUUAGGGUAGAAAAGUAAAUAGUAUGCAAAAAUAUAGCUACAUUGCAUCUGCCAUUGAAACAUCUGGGGUAUGAAAACGUUCCAGCUUUUUUCAUUUUGCAUUAUAGAUAAGCCGUGUCUUGUAAUUGCACAAGUCCAGUCAUUGAAUCAAAUUAAUUUUUUGUGUACUUGAAUCAUUUUAUUUCUCUUAACAUUCAUACUGAAGUUCUGAUAUUGUUGAAAACCAUUGUUUUAUUCUGCAUAUUUGUUGGCUCUUUGCAUAUUAAUAUAUUAGACUACAUGCAAAUACAGUCUGUCUUGCCAUUGUCUGUUGAAGUGCAGGUUUGAUCCAGCCAGUAUAGGACUAGCUCUGUAGGGGUGAGGAGGACUGUGCUGUGUAUCAUCCUUGAUUGUGUUCCUUCAAGGAGCAUUGCACUGUAAGUACAUCAGAAUGACAAAUUGAUGAACUGCAACAGUGUCUCUUUGUCAAUGUUCCACAUAAUGCAAUUGCUAUAUUUUGUGUGAAUAUUAUGUUGGAAUACAGUGCUGAUAUCAUAGGAAAACAUAAACUGCCUUUUAACAUAGAAUAAUACAUAGUUCUGUAUUUUUUUAAGUGAGCUUAAUGGGUAAGUAUUUUUGAUAUGCUUUAGCUAAUAGCUAAAGAAGAUUGAUCAUUAUCAAAGUUGAAUAGUAUUAUCUAUCGGUGCUCCUAAAAUGCCGAUUUUUCAGUGUAAGAUAUGCAUCUUUAAUAGUGAUAUGAAAAACUUGAAAUGUGUAAGACAGUGUUUUUCAGAUUGCAAAUUAUAAGCAAUGUAGCACUUAGCAUCUUUUCAUAAAUAUGUUUUAUCUGUGGUGAGCACCAUUUGCAUAUGCUUUAAAGGAAGAGGUAUGAGGACAGAAAUGUUGAGGUAAUAGGGCAGAAAACAGUUCAGCUCAUUGUGGAUGUUUUGAAAUGUUUUUGAUUGUUUUAUGUAACUUUGAGUGACUUCCCUUACCCUUAUUUAGAUAUGGAUACAUAGUCUAGUUUGAAGUUUACUGGUUAAGGAGUUAACUAUUAAGUGUAGGGUAUUGACAUGAACAGUUUUCAGUACUGCAUGAUGUUGUUGCAUAGAUGGAUGACCUAGGAAAGUGGUGCAUUUAGUAAUUAAACUGAAGGAAAUAGUUGAAUUCAGUAUCAUUCACAAAUUGGAGGCUGUUGAUUUUGAUUCGUUUAAAGUUUAAAAUCCUUAUUAAUUGCAAACAGUGCAAUUAUUUAUACUUCACAGUGCCUUCCCAGACCUUCCACCUUAGGUUCUGCUGCAAAAAGCAACAGGUAAGCACAACCUAAGGACAUAUAUAUAAAUAUAUCAGUACAUUAAUGUUGUCCCUGUGAGGUUUUGUGGUUGUGUACUCAAAAGCAAUCUGCUGCUUCCCCAAAUGUAUUUUGUUAUUUAUGCUACCAUUCUAGUGGAAAGUCUGUUAAUUUGUUGAAGCAACUGUUUAUAAUUUUGGGUAAUGGUUUUUAUUUUAAUUUUUUCAUUAAAAUAAAAUGAGUAGAUUGCUGGAAAACAUCCAGAUCUUUUUGUACCCAUUUUCCCCAAGUUAUAGAAGUGUUACAGUAAGAACAGUUAAAUAGUUAAGACUUAGAAAAUCUUUUGGUCAGAAAUUUCAACAGCCUUCACAGCCUGUUUGUAUAACUGACAGGACAUUUUCUUUACCCUCCAAGCCUGUGGUUUUAGUUUUGGUUUUAUUUUUUUCCUCCUUUAUUAUUACUGCUUUAAAGUAUAGUGAUUCAGUAAGAACAUUUUGGGUCAGUUUCCUAGACAGUUCUGUUUUCAUGACUUGUAUAUGCUGACAAGGAAGACUAAGGAAUACUGGCAGUAAGUUUUGAAAAAAGGCAUGUGCAUCAGUGAAAUGAUAACUGUGUCAAAUAACUUUCAUAGUCUGCAUAACCAAGUUUCUGGUUUAUAUUUUAAUAACUGACGCUGCAUUUAUUUUUUUUUUGCCAGUUUACAAUGUUUGUGUUCUUAGGAAUGAUGUUUAACUAGUACAUAUUUUGACUUAAGAUGACUGUCUUAAAACAGCACCGUAUCAGUUUUGUUUUUAAUUCAGUUUCUAAAUGUGCUGAUCCUAUUAAAAACUCCUGCUUAUCUUUACAACAAAGAAAAAUAUUCAAAAAUACUGCCUUCAUUUUCACACACAGUGCUGAAGAUGCUGCAAGCACCAAAUCAUAGCUCAUAAUAUCAGGUCCUGAGAUAGUUACCCAUAAAGAGGAAUCCUUUGAGUGUAUGCCAUUGGUGAGCCGAUGAGCAUGGACCAUAGAAGGGCUCAAUGUAGAAGAAACUACCCGUGUGUUAAAAGAAGAUUGGCUUAAAAUGGCUACUGUGAUGGGAACAGUGUCUUAGGGAGAUGCAGCUUGGACUGGAGGUAAAUUGAAUACUUUACAAACUGGUUUAGAAUUUUGCUUUAUUGACAUUGUAUGUAAAGGGCAUUGGAUUGUUAUUUUGUAUUCUUUGUUUUCUUAAUUUAAAACAAUAAAUGUACAGUGAUGACUUA